AUGAUGGAGGAGCUUGCUCUUCCUGAUUAGUGGCGCACGGGUGAGUAACGCAUAGGUAAUGUGCCCCUUAGAGAGGGAUAGCCACUGGAAACGGUGAUUAAUACCUCAUACUCCUUCUUGCCAUAAGGUAAGUCGGGAAAUGUUUUUCGCUAAGGGAUCAGCCUAUGUCCUAUCAGUUAGUUGGUGAGGUAAUGGCUCACCAAGACUAUGACGGGUAUCUGGUUUGAGAGGAUGAUCAGACACACUGGAACUGAGACACGGUCCAGACUCCUACGGGAGGCAGCAGUGAGGAAUAUUGCACAAUGGAGGAAACUCUGAUGCAGCAACGCCGCGUGGAGGAUGACGCAUUUCGGUGUGUAAACUCCUUUUAAGAGGGAAGAUUAUGACGGUACCUCUUGAAUAAGCACCGGCUAACUCCGUGCCAGCAGCCGCGGUAAUACGGAGGGUGCAAGCGUUACUCGGAAUCACUGGGCGCAAAGGGUGCGUAGGCUGACUUUUAAGUCAGGCGUGAAAUCCUAUGGCUUAACCAUAGAACUGCGCUUGAAACUGGGAGUCUAGAGUUCAGAAGGGGCAGAUGGAAUUAGUGGUGUAGGGGUAAAAUCCGUAGAUA
rnacentral:rRNA from 1 species